AGAGCGAACGCUGGCGGCGUGCUUAACACAUGCAAGUCGAACGCGCAGCAUUCUGUAGCAAUACAGGGUGUGGGCGCGUGGCGAACGGGUGCGUAACACGUGGAUAACCUUCCUUCAGGUGGGGAAUAACCCAGUGAAAAUUGGGCUAAUACCGCAUAACAAAACGAUGAGACAUCUUGUUGUUUUCAAAGGCGCAAGUCGCCAGAAGAGGGAUCCGCGGCCGAUUAGCUUGUUGGCGAGGUAAUGGCUCACCAAGGCAAUGAUCGGUAGCCGGACUGAGAGGUUGGCCGGCCACACUGGAACUGAGACACGGUCCAGACUCCUACGGGAGGCAGCAGUGGGGAAUCUUGCACAAUGGGCGAAAGCCUGAUGCAGCAACGCCGCGUGGGGGAUGAAGCUUCUCGGAGUGUAACCCCUUUCGACCCGGAAGAAGCCCGCAAGGGUUUGACGGUACGGGUAUAAGAAGCCCCGGCUAACUACGUGCCAGCAGCCGCGGUAAU
rnacentral:rRNA from 1 species